rnacentral:rRNA from 1 species
GAGUGGCGAACGGGUGAGUAACACGUGGGUAACCUGCCCAUCAGAAGGGGAUAACACUUGGAAACAGGUGCUAAUACCGUAUAACAAUCGAAACCGCAUGGUUUCGUUUUGAAAGGCGCUUUACGGUGCCGCUGAUGGAUGGACCCGCGGUGCAUUAGCUAGUUGGUGAGGUAACGGCUCACCAAGGCCACGAUGCAUAGCCGACCUGAGAGGGUGAUCGGCCACAUUGGGACUGAGACACGGCCCAAACUCCUACGGGAGGCAGCAGUAGGGAAUCUUCGGCAAUGGACGAAAGUCUGACCGAGCAACGCCGCGUGAGUGAAGAAGGUUUUCGGAUCGUAAAACUCUGUUGUUAGAGAAGAACAAGGGUGAGAGUAACUGUUCACCCCUUGACGGUAUCUAACCAGAAAGCCACGGCUAACUACGUGCCAGCAGCCGCGGUAAUACGUAGGUGGCAAGCGUUGUCCGGAUUUAUUGGGCGUAAAGCGAGCGCAGGCGGUU